UCUCAGUUCGGACUGGAGUCUGCAACCCGACUCCACGAAGCUGGAUUCGCUAGUAAUCGCGCAUCAGCCACGGCGCGGUGAAUACGUUCCCGGGCCUUGUACACACCGCCCGUCAAGCCAUGGGAGCCGGGGGCGCCUGAAGUCCGUGACCGCGAGGGUCGGCCUAGGGUGAAACCGGUGAUUGGGGCUAAGUCGUAACAAGGUAUC
rnacentral:rRNA from 1 species